CAGCCGCCGCGGUAAUACGGAGGGUGCAAGCGUUAUCCGGAUUUAUUGGGUUUAAAGGGUCCGUAGGCGGAUCUGUAAGUCAGUGGUGAAAUCUCACAGCUUAACUGCGAAACUGCCAUUGAUACUGCAGGUCUUGAGUAAAUUUGAAGUGGCUGGAAUAAGUAGUGUAGCGGUGAAAUGCAUAGAUAUUACUUAGAACACCAAUUGCGAAGGCAGGUCACUAAGAUUUAACUGACGCUGAUGGACGAAAGCGUGAGGAGCGAACAGGAUUAGAUACCCCAGUAGUCCCUGUCUCUUAUAC
rnacentral:rRNA from 1 species